rnacentral:rRNA from 1 species
GACGAACGCUGGCGGCGUGCUUAACACAUGCAAGUCGAGCGAUGAAGCUCCUUCGGGAGUGGAUUAGCGGCGGACGGGUGAGUAACACGUGGGUAACCUGCCUCAUAGAGGGGAAUAGCCUUCCGAAAGGAAGAUUAAUACCGCAUAAGAUUGUAGUACCGCAUGGUAUAGCAAUUAAAAGAGUAAUCCGCUAUGAGAUGGACCCGCGUCGCAUUAGCUAGUUGGUGAGGUAACGGCUCACCAAGGCGACGAUGCGUAGCCGACCUGAGAGGGUGAUCGGCCACAUUGGGACUGAGGCACGGCCCAGACUCCUACGGGAGGCAGCAGUGGGGAAUAUUGCACAAUGGGGGAAACCCUGAUGCAGCAACGCCGCGUGAGUGAUGACGGUCUUCGGAUUGUAAAGCUCUGUCCUCAGGGACGAUAAUGACGGUACCUGAGGAGGAAGCCACGGCUAACUACGUGCCAGCAGCCGCGGUAA